rnacentral:rRNA from 1 species
UACGUAGGGUGCAAGCGUUGUCCGGAUUUAUUGGGCGUAAAGAGCUCGUAGGCGGUUUGAUUAGUCGGGUGUGAAACCUCCAGGCUUAACCUGGAGCCGCCACUCGAUACUGUCAUGACUAGAAUUCGGUAGGGGACCACGGAAUUCCGGGUGUAGCGGUGGAAUGCGUAGAGAUCCGGAAGAACACCGGUGGCGAAGGCGGUCUGCUGGGCAGUUGCUGACACUGAGGCGCGACAGCGUGGGGAGCAAACAGG